GAAGGGACCCCAUCCUAUUUGCUCCCUUCUGUCUCACCCCUCCUGUCAGAUCAGUCUCUCCCUGUUCUCUGUACCCUAGGUGCGAGCCCGACCAAGGAUGACAGUAAGGACUCAGAUUUCUGGAAGAUGCUUAAUGAGCCAGAGGACCAGGCCCCAGGAGGGGAGGAGGUGCCGGCUGAGGAGCAGGACCCAAGCCCUGAGGCAGCAGAUUCAGCUUCUGGUGCUCCCAAUGAUUUUCAGAACAACGUGCAGGUCAAAGUCAUUCGAAGCCCUGCGGAUUUGAUUCGAUUCAUAGAGGAGCUGAAAGGUGGAACAAAAAAGGGGAAGCCAAAUAUAGGCCAAGAGCAGCCUGUGGAUGAUGCUGCAGAAGUCCCUCAGAGGGAACCAGAGAAGGAAAGGGGUGAUCCAGAACGGCAGAGAGAGAUGGAAGAAGAGGAGGAUGAGGAUGAGGAUGAGGAUGAAGAUGAGGAUGAACGGCAGUUACUGGGAGAAUUUGAGAAGGAACUGGAAGGGAUCCUGCUUCCGUCAGACCGAGACCGGCUCCGUUCGGAGGUGAAGGCUGGCAUGGAGCGGGAACUGGAGAACAUCAUCCAGGAGACAGAGAAAGAGCUGGACCCAGAUGGGCUGAAGAAGGAGUCAGAGCGGGAUCGGGCAAUGCUGGCUCUCACAUCCACUCUCAACAAACUCAUCAAAAGACUGGAGGAAAAACAGAGUCCAGAGCUGGUGAAAAAGCACAAGAAAAAGAGGGUUGUCCCCAAAAAGCCUCCCCCAUCACCCCAACCUACAG
rnacentral:sRNA from 1 species